UGGCCUCGGAUCAGGUAGGAAUACCCGCUGAACUUAA
rnacentral:rRNA from 1 species